AGCUUCGGCAGCGAGUAAGGAGAAAUCAGAGCAUUCUAAAUCACGCGCUGAGCUUAGUGCUCUACGACGCGAGCAAUUGGAGCUUCAACAAAAAUACAGUCGAGAACUUGCAGAAUAUCGUAGUUCAUCGAAUGCGAUCAUCGCUAAAAAGGAUUUUCUUGUUGAGGGGCUAACUAAGAUUAUCGAGCAACGAAAGUCGCAAUUUCCUUGGCUUGCCUCUGCGNUGCUUGUGGCAAUGCGUGAUGCGGAUCAUUUAGAGAGAAAGAAGCAUCCUGCGAAGAAAGC
rnacentral:misc_RNA from 1 species